AACGGCGAGUGAAGCGGCAAUAGCUCAAAUUUGAAAGCUGGCGUCUUCGACGUCCGCGUUGUAAUUUGUAGAGGAUGCUUCGGCGAAGACUCCUGCCUAAGUCCCCUGGAACGGGGCGUCACAGAGGGUGAGAAUCCCGUAUGUGGCGGGCGGUCCUAGCCAUGUGAAGCUCCUUCGACGAGUCGAGUUGUUUGGGAAUGCAGCUCUAAAUGGGAGGUAAAUUUCUUCUAAAGCUAAAUAUUGGCCAGAGACCGAUAGCGCACAAGUAGAGUGAUCGAAAGAUGAAAAGCACUUUGGAAAGAGAGUUAAAAAGUACGUGAAAUUGUUGAAAGGGAAGCGCUUGCAACCAGACUCGCCCGCAGUUGCUCAGCCGGCCUCUUGGCCGGUGUACUCUUCUGCGGUCGGGCCAGCAUCAGUUUGGGCGGCCGGAUAAAGGUGUCGGGAAUGUAGCACCCUUCGGGGUGUGUUAUAGCCCGGCGCGGAAUGCGGCCAGCCUGGACUGAGGAUCUCGCUUCGGCAAGGAUGCUGGCGUAAUGGUUGUAAGCGGCCCGUCUUGAAACACGGACCAAGGAGUCUAACAUCUAUGCGAGUGUUUGGGUGUCAAACCCAUGCGCGUAAUGAAAGUGAACGGAGGUGGGAACCCCUCACGGGGUGCACCAUCGACCGAUCCUGAUGUCUUCGGAUGGAUUUGAGUAAGAGCAUAGCUGUUGGGACCCGAAAGAUGGUGAACUAUGCCUGAAUAGGGUGAAGCCAGAGGAAACUCUGGUGGAGGCUUCGCAGCGGUUCUGACGUGCAAAUCGAUCGUCAAAUUUGGGGUAUAU
rnacentral:rRNA from 1 species